rnacentral:rRNA from 1 species
AGUGAACGCUGGCGGUAGGCCUAACACAUGCAAGUCGAACGGCAGCACAGUAAGAGCUGGCUAUUAGGGGUGGCGAGUGGCGGACGGGUGAGGUAUACAUCGCACUCUACUUUUUCGUGGGGGAUAACGUAGGGAAACUUACGCUAAUACCGCACACGUCCUACGGGUGAAAGCAGAGGAUCUUCGGACCUUGCGUGAUUGCAUGAGCUGUUGUCGUAUUAGCUAGUUGGCGGGGUAAAGGCGCACCAAGGCGACGAUCGGUAGCUGGUCUGAGAGGAGGAACAGGCACACUGGAACUGAGACGCGGUACAGACUCCUACGGGAGGCACCAAUGGGGAAUGGUGGACGAUGUGGGCAAGCCUGCUCCAGCGAUACAGCGUGGGUGAAGAAGGGCUUCGGGUUGUAAGGCCGUUUUGUGGGUGAAGAAAGGCAUCAGCAGAAUACCACGCUUUUCUGACGGUACCUAAAGAAGAAGCACCGGCUAACUUCGUG